rnacentral:rRNA from 1 species
GACGAACGCUGGCGGCGUGCUUAACACAUGCAAGUCGAACGGAAAGGCCCUGCUUUUGUGGGGUGCUCGAGUGGCGAACGGGUGAGUAACACGUGAGUAACCUGCCCUUGACUUUGGGAUAACUUCAGGAAACUGGGGCUAAUACCGGAUAGGAGCUCCUGCUGCAUGGUGGGGGUCGGAAAGUUUCGGCGGUUGGGGAUGGACUCGCGGCUUAUCAGCUUGUUGGUGGGGUAGUGGCUUACCAAGGCUUUGACGGGUAGCCGGCCUGAGAGGGUGACCGGCCACAUUGGGACUGAGAUACGGCCCAGACUCCUACGGGAGGCAGCAGUGGGGAAUAUUGCACAAUGGGCGGAAGCCUGAUGCAGCAACGCCGCGUGCGGGAUGACGGCCUUCGGGUUGUAAACCGCUUUCGCCUGUGACGAAGCGUGAGUGACGGUAAUGGGUAAAGAAGCACCGGCUAACUACGU